UACGGAGGGUGCGAGCGUUGUCCGGAAUCACUGGGCGUAAAGGGCGCGUAGGCGGCCUGAUAAGUAGGGGGUGAAAUCCUGCGGCUUAACCGCAGGGCUGCCUUCUAAACUGUCAGGCUAGAGCACGGUAGAGGCAGAUGGAAUUCCCGGUGUAGCGGUGGAAUGCGUAGAGAUCGGGAAGAACAUCAGUGGCGAAGGCGGUCUGCUGGGCCGUAACUGACGCUGAGGAGCGAAAGCAUGGGGAGCGAACAGG
rnacentral:rRNA from 1 species